GUACACUAAAGCUAGCAUAAUCUACAAUACACAGUCACCGCUUUCUUUAAAUUCAAUGCUCACUUCUCACACAAACAGCCUUGUCCCAGCUCCACAUAACACAAUUAACCCAAAUGACAUUCUUUAACUGCUAGCUGACAUCUGGGAAUAUUCAUUUCAGAUUAUAGUAUUCCCUGGGAAUCAGAGAAAGAUAUCAGAAUACUAAAUAUG